rnacentral:rRNA from 1 species
AUAUUCUUUAGCGGAGGAAAAGAAACCAACUGGGAUUACCUUAGUAACGGCGAGUGAAGCGGUAAAAGCUCAAAUUUGAAAUCUGGUACUUUCAGUGCCCGAGUUGUAAUUUGUAGAAUUUGUCUUUGAUUAGGUCCUUGUCUAUGUUCCUUGGAACAGGACGUCAUAGAGGGUGAGAAUCCCGUUUGGCGAGGAUACCUUUUCUCUGUAAGACUUUUUCGAAGAGUCGAGUUGUUUGGGAAUGCAGCUCAAAGUGGGUGGUAAAUUCCAUCUAAAGCUAAAUAUUGGCGAGAGACCGAUAGCGAACAAGUACAGUGAUGGAAAGAUGAAAAGAACUUUGAAAAGAGAGUGAAAAAGUACGUGAAAUUGUUGAAAGGGAAGGGCAUUUGAUCAGACAUGGUGUUUUUUGCAUGCACUCGCCUCUCGUGGGCUUGGGCCUCUCAAAAAUUUCACUGGGCCAACAUCAAUUCUGGCAGCAGGAUAAAUCAUUAAGAAUGUAGCUACUUCGGUAGUGUUAUAGCUUUUUGGAAUACUGUUAGCCGGGAUUGAGGACUGCGCUUCGGCAAGGAUGUUGGCAUAAUGGUUAAAUGCCGCCCGUCUA